rnacentral:sRNA from 1 species
CUAUCAUUCGAUACAU